CAUCCCAGAAUCUAUUUCCUAAAGGGCCUCCCCAUAAAACAGAGAUCUUAUCAUGUGAUAGAAUUUUACAUUUGUGGACCUAUAGAAAAUGCCCUAUUUAAAAUAUUUCUCCCAUUGCCUUGUGUUUUGAAACCUUCGGAAUAUUUUUAAUUCUGUUAUCUAAAUGCUUCUGGAAGUGAUAUCUGAAUUAUUAGCUAAGAUGACCAAACGAAUGAACAAAUAGACCUUAUGUUUUCAAACAUGUUGCUUCUUUGUUGUUUAUCAACAAUAUAGCUCCUAAUCACAACUUCAAUUCAACAUGAGUGAGCCAGCUUUAAUAAAUGGACUUGACAUACUUAUUAUCAAAAAACAAAGAAAUGUGGUUUUUUUGUUAGCUUGUGCACUUUUAUUGCAAAGUAAUGUUUAAUCCUGGUUUCUUUUUCAGAUAUUGCAAAUAGCAUAUGGAGUCCCAUUAUUCCCUUCUUGUGCCCCAAGAAUAGAAUCUACUCUCAUCUCUUCAUUCUAUUUUAGAAACAAGGAAACUAAAGAAGAAAAGAAGAGAGUCAAAAUGGUGUUUCACAGACAGGACUUCUGUCCAUGACUGUCACACCCCCAGAAAUUUUAAUUUGUCCAAUUUAAUCACCAUUGUUCUGGUGAACAAAGCUGUCACUUUGGAUGACAACAUGGAUGACCUCAUGGCUUAUAGAUUAUCCUUGGACCAAUGUCUACAUCUGGUUUAAUCAACCAUAGCUACGAAGACAAGGUCACAAUGGUACUAAAAAGAAUUUCUUAAAGCACUGCCUAAAACCUUUCUUCAGCAAAGAAAGACACUUCCUUCUAAAGGGCCACUGCCCUUUGUAAAAGGACCAUAAAUUUUGUAGGCUUUCUGAAGCUUGGUCUAUUUUCUGCAGCAAGUAUCUUAAACUCUGAACUGAGUGAGGAAAAAAUAAUCUAGAACCUUCAAACUCAAAAAAAAGAAUUCAAGUUUUAAUAAAGAAAGGACUUUGGUACUUAUAUGGCCA
rnacentral:lncRNA from 12 species